GAUGAACGCUGGCGGCGUGCUCAACACAUGCAAGUCGAACGGUGAAGCAGGAGCUUGCUCUUGUGGAUCAGUGGCGAACGGGUGAGUAACACGUGAGCAACCUGCCCCUGACUCUGGGAUAAGCGCUGGAAACGGCGUCUAAUACUGGAUAUGUGAUGUGACCGCAUGGUCUGCAUCUGGAAAGAAUUUCGGUUGGGGAUGGGCUCGCGGCCUAUCAGCUUGUUGGUGAGGUAAUGGCUCACCAAAGCGUCGACGGGUAGGCGGCCUGAGAGGGGGACCGGCCACACGGGGACUGAGACACGGCCCAGACUCCUACGGGAGGCAGCAGUGGGGAAUAUUGCACAAUGGGCGGGAGCCUGAUGCAGCAACGCCGCGUGAGGGAUGACGGCCUUCGGGUUGUAAACCUCUUUUAGCAGGGAAGAAGCGAAAGUGACGGUACCUGCAGAAAAAGCACCGGCUAACUACGUGCCAGCCGCCGCCGUAA
rnacentral:rRNA from 1 species